UUGAAGCUGCGUUUUGUUAAACGCAGCUUCAAUUCAUACAGAGCUGCGUUUUAUAAAACGCAGCUCUGGGUUUGUUAUUGAAAAAAAAAAGCCCUCAAUAGGACACAACAACGGAAAAAACCCUAAAUUGAAAAAACUCUCAGCUCACUCAGCCCCAUCCCUUCCUUUCUCCCAUGCCUGAGACCAAACCCAACCUUGAAACUUUUUGACCAGCGAGGGCAUCGACUUGGGCAUUAGAGUUGCGGUGAUAUCAGUGUGGAGAUCGGCGUGGGUCAUUAGCAUGGAGAUCUGUACUCCAGUUGUGCUUCUAUUCGUGUGAUCGUGCUCCGAUCUGUGCUUCGAUUCGUGGGAUCAUGGGUGUCGCCGUCGGUCUAGCCGUGGGUCAUGGUUGUGGUGCUUGUUUUGCCGUGGUGCUGGGUUUCUAUUUUUGUCAUGGGUUGCUGUGGGUUUCUAUUUGGUUUCUAUUUUUGUCUUUUGGGCUGCUGAAUUUUUGAUUGCUCUGUUUGGGUCUUGCUUGCUCUGUUUCAGAGAUGAGAGAACGAAGAGGAAGAGAGGGACAACAGUUUUCUGACAUUCCAUACCAUUCUCCACUGCUCUGAUUUGGUCAGGUGAUCAUAGACCAUAUGACAUUUUUUCAUCAGAUAAACAUGCUAUGGCAAGUUUCUUUACACCUUUAUGUCUUACAAGAUUGAUUUUCUUUUACACAGUUUGUUAAUUUAAUCUAUUAUUUCUUGGCAAUUCUAUUGGUAAUAGGCCUAGUCUACUGGGAAUGAACAAAUAUGAGUUUGCAAAAACUUGCUGUGCUGUCAGAGUUGUCCGUGAUUCUCAAGGGAAAUUUUAUUAGGUAGUCUUUAGAAUUGUGUUAGAAUGGCACUAUGUGGUUUGGAUAAAUUACUUUUCAUACUGCCUUGUGGUUAAGUUGGUGUUUUAACAACCCAUUAAUAAGCAAAAAACAAAAAGCAUCAUGCUGAGCAUGCUUUUCAUGAAGAUGAUGAAAGACCAUGUGGCUAACUCUAUUUCUUGGGUGAUAGAGUUGACCACUUUGUGGAUUCUUAUCCUAUAAGGGAUAUCUAUAAAGACAUUGGUAAUAGGUAUGCCAUGUGAUUGGAAAAUAGAGAGGCCAUAUCUUUUAUCUAGAGAAUUGUGUAAUGAUAUCUAUAAGUGUUCUGAUCAUAAGCUUUUUCUCAUAUUUUGCUGUUGCAAAGAACUUUUUAAAACAUUUCAUGUUGUUCUUGUAGGAUUUCUCGAAGGGAAUUCGCUUGGAAGAGUUGAAUGUGUUACUUAGGCAAACUAUUAUGGUUUGUGCUCUUGUUCUCAAUAUGUUACUGUUAGUGAAGUUGAAGCACCUUUUGAGCUUUAGAAGAGCAUUAGCAGUUCUGUAAUCAAUGAUGGGUUGAUAAACAAGUUGUCUUGUAUGUUCUUCCAUGAGCAGGAGAUUCACUGUGGUAUAUUUUAGUGAACCGCCACCUGCUUCCAGAUAUUAAGAAUACAGAGGUAUUGCUAAAAUUGUUGCCAUACUUUUCUAAAGGCAUUUUUAAUUGUUUUAAUCCAAAUUUAGUGGUUCAAAACACUAUUGAGGACAAAAUCCAGGAUAGUGGGCCUUACCCAUUUUCAAUUAUAUUCGUGAAAUUUUAUAAAAAUUUAGAAUCUAUUUAAUGGGUUAAGAAUUUUUUCAAAAGAGGCUAUUCACACACUUAUAGUCUUAUACAUGUUAUUUAUGGUUAAUUCCAAGACAAAUACUAGU